rnacentral:rRNA from 1 species
AGAGUUUGAUCAUGGCUCAGAAUCAACGCUGGCGGCGUGCCUAACACAUGCAAGUCGAACGCGAAAGAGGCUUCGGCCUCAAUUGAGUGGCGAACGGGUGAGUAACACGUGGGUGACCUACCUUCGAGUGGGGGAUAACGUCCCGAAAGGGACGCUAAUACCGCAUAACAUCCUGCUUUUGAACAGGCAGAGAUCAAAGCUGGGGAUCGCAAGACCUAGCACUUGAAGAGGGGCCCGCGUCUGAUUAGCUAGUUGGUGGGGUAACGGCUCACCAAGGCAACGAUCAGUAUCCGGCCUGAGAGGGCGGACGGACACACUGGGACUGAGACACGGCCCAGACUCCUACGGGAGGCAGCAGUCGGGAAUUUUGGGCAAUGGGCGCAAGCCUGACCCAGCAACGCCGCGUGAAGGAUGAAGUUUUUCGGAAUGUAAACUUCACAAGAAUGGGAAGAAUAAGUCCUGGCUAAUAUCCAGGACGAUGACGGUACCAUUUGUAAGCUCCGGCUAACUCCGUGCCAGCAGCCGCGGUAAUAC